rnacentral:rRNA from 1 species
UACAGAGGGGGCAAGCGUUGUUCGGAAUUACUGGGCGUAAAGGGCGCGUAGGCGGCAAUUCAAGUCAUCUGUGAAAUCUCCGGGCUUAACUCGGAACGGUCAAGUGAUACUGUCGGACUAGAGUACAGAAGGGGCAACUGGAAUUCUCGGUGUAGCGGUGAAAUGCGUAGAUAUCGAGAGGAACACCUGCGGCGAAGGCGGGUUGCUGGGCUGAUACUGACGCUGAGGCGCGAAAGCCAGGGGAGCGAACGGG